rnacentral:misc_RNA from 1 species
CUCUCUCUCUCUCUCUCUCUUAUAUGUAAUCAAGUUGUUGUUUUGUUUAUUAAGCCAAAUUGGGUUAUCCAUACUGUUCAUGGGUUGUUUGAUAAGAAAUUGUGCUUCUGAAAGUUUGAAUGCUUCAUUCUCAAUAAUAGCAUGAAGUGUUUUCUUGUAAUGUCUUCUCAUGUCAGUCUGCUUGGAUGGAACACUUCCUGGUUACCACUUGCAUCAUGGGUCUGUAUUGGGUCAAAACUGCUGGCUCAUUCAGUUGGAGGCAUGUGAGAUAACUUUUGGGUAUUGACAUUCUGGGUUUCUGAUGAGAAAUAGCUGAUUAUUUUAAACAUUAGUGUUUGCUGUCUGUUCUAUUUUAUUUAUUUGUUAGAUUUAGCAGAAGCGACUUAAUUAAAAGGCGCCUUGGUGCAGGAAGGUGAUAAGAGUUAGGAACACAAAGGAAAAGAACAGAUGCAACAAGAGAGAGAGAGAGUUAUAAAAUAAGAUCUGAAUUACAAUGAAUCUUCUCAGCAAUGCAAUAGCAAAUUCCCUCCUCUCAAAACAGAACCUAAAGAGAAAAUAGAGAAAGGAGAGAAAUCUCUCAAACAGGCUCAAGCUAGCCCAGCUAAUGCUGAAAUUCAAAAUGCAUCCAGAAUGCUCAUAUCAGCUGAAGAAUCUCUUAUUUAUAUCUGGCAUAAUGGUUAAUGAUGGCUCAAGGUCCAUGUGGAGUGCUAUCCGCAUUUUCCUCUAACAGUUAACAGCAUAUCUUCCAAAUGAUUUCCUCCAGCUGUCCUGUUCAAGAAUCACUCUUCUUUCUGAAAUUCUUCCUGUAGUAGACCCUUAGUGGUCUUGGAUCACAGCCCAUCAAUUCUGAAUAAGUCAUUCUGCUCAUAUCAAGGUGGGUGUGCGAUACCAUCGAGAAUUGUGUUUACUGGAAAACUGUGCGCUGUGGUUCAUCAAAAUUUAUGGAAAAGAAAUUACGAUUCACUGGGAUUUUAAGUGAUAAGACAGAAGAAAAUCCUGGUUUCUCCAAGACAUUGAAACUUCUUUUGCUCUUGCUAUAUCGAUUUGAGGUUCUGAAUUCUGAUUCAUUCGUAUGGAUGGUGCUUUAUUAUGCUGCAGAUUUCUUUAACUGGAACAGGGUAAAGCUAAGAUACUGUGAUGGGGCAUCUUUCAGUGGGGACAGUAAGAAUGAGGUUGGUCAAAGUAUAUGCUCUUCUCAAUUAUUCUGUGGACAAUUGAUUUGCAUCAAUUACAAGUUUUAAAAUAAAUAAUGGUUUAUUUUGAUCAUGCACAUUUUUGCUUAAUCGCUAACUUAUUUGAGUAACAUAUCAUGUUUAUUUUGAUGUUUGAUACGGGAUAUGGCCCUUAUACUUAAGGUUGGUUUUUGCCAUUCUUUGAAAUUCUGAUGGUCUUAGUUAUAUUCAAUUAAUGAUAAGUGUCAAGAAGCUAGAUGCUUGAUAAAGCUUAUCUUGAUGAUCAUUUCUUCCACCUCCGAUAGAUUUUUAGUUCUCUCAAUCUGAUUUGAUCUCUGAUUUCCUAUCCCAUCAAACAAUGGCAAUCUCAUUGGGGAUAAAUCUGGAAUUAUAACUUUGGAGGGGCCAAGGAAUAA